rnacentral:rRNA from 1 species
CAGUAGCCGCGGUAAGACAGAGGAUGCAAGCGUUGUUCGGAAUUAUUGGGCGUAAAGGGUGCGUAGGCGGCUUGACAAGUCUUGUGUGAAAUCUAUGGGCUCAACCCAUAGUCUGUACGGGAAACUGUCGGGCUUGAGAAUGGGGGAGGUGAGUGGAAUUUCCGGUGUAGCGGUGAAAUGCGUAGAUAUCGGAAGGAACACCUGUGGCGAAAGCGGCUCACUGGACCAUUUCUGACGCUGAUGCACGAAAGCUAGGGGAGCAAACAGGAUUAGAUACCCCCGUAGUCCCUGUCUCUUAUAC